UCAAAGCAUUCUCAGACACGAUCUCAGUGUCACUGCUCACCAUCUCUCUCUCGCCAUGCCCGUCGAGAAGAAGCUACCCCUCCAGUCUAGCUCCGCCCACAACGCCGCCGUCGCCGGAGAUGGAGCCGCCGCUGGCAAGACGACGAUCGAGGAGACGUACCAGAAGGUGACGCAGCUGGAGCACAUCCUCCUCCGUCCUGACACCUAUAUUGGCUCCAUUGAGAAGCACACCCAGGAUCUCUGGGUGUUUGAGAAACCAAAGAUCACUGUCGAUGCAGCGGAGGAUCUAACAGCUCCGGCUGGUGAUGAUAAAGAAACCAUGGUUCACCGAAAGGUGACCUUCGUUCCCGGCCUCUACAAGAUCUUUGAUGAGAUCCUUGUCAAUGCUGCUGAUAAUAAGCAGCGAGACCCCUCCAUGGACUGUUUGCGCGUUGAGAUUGAUCCCCAGGCUAACCGCAUUAGCAUCUACAACAAUGGCGAUGGUGUUCCCAUCGAGAUCCAUGCUGAUGUUGGGGUUUAUGUGCCUGAGAUGAUUUUUGGGCACUUGCUAACGAGUAGCAACUACAAUGACAAUGUAAAGAAAACCACUGGAGGGAGGAAUGGGUACGGGGCGAAGCUGACGAACAUCUUCUCCACGGAGUUUGUGAUUGAGACUGCUGAUGGGAAGCGGCAGAAGAAGUACAAGCAGGUUUUCUCUGAUAACAUGAGCAAAAAGUCAGUACCAAACAUUACCAAGUGCAAGGAUGGAGAGAAUUGGACUAAAGUCACGUUCAAGCCGGACCUGGCCAAAUUCAAUAUGACAAUGCUUGAAGAUGAUGUUGUGGCAUUGAUGAGGAGAAGAGUUGUUGAUCUAGCAGGAGCUCUUGGCAAAACUGUCAAGGUAGAAUUGAAUGGGAAAAGAGUGCCUGUGAAGUCUUUCGCUGAUUAUGUCAACUUAUACCUCCAAAGUGCUUCCAAAUUCAGGGCUGAGCCCCUACCAAGGAUAAUGGAGAGAGUGAAUGAAAGGUGGGAGGUAUGUGUUAGUCUUAGUGAUGGGCAUUUCCAACAGGUGAGUUUUGUAAAUGCUAUUGCAACUACAAAAGGUGGUAGUCAUGUGGAUUAUGUCACCAAUCAGAUCACUGGCUAUGUGAUCAAUUCAGCAAAGAAGAAGAAUAAGAAUGUGGCUCUUAAGGCCCAAUAUGUCAAAAACCAUCUGUGGGUCUUUGUCAAUGCACUCGUCGACAAUCCUGCUUUUGACUCUCAGACUAAAGAGAACUUAACUACUCGCCAAGGAAGCUUUGGAUCUAAAUGUGAGCUUUCAGAGGAGUUCCUUAAAAAGGUGGCUAAAUCUGGAGUUUUAGACAAUGUCCUCUCUUGGGCUGAUAUGAAGCAGAGCAAAGAACUGAAGAAGACCGAUGGAACAAAGAAGCAGAGGAUCACAGGCAUUCCCAAACUCGAGGAUGCUAAUGAAGCAGGUUCAAGUAACUCUCACAAAUGCACUCUGGUCUUGACUGAGGGAGAUUCAGCCAAAGCACUUGCGAUGGCAGGUAUUUCCGUAGUAGGCAGGAACCACUAUGGUGUGUUCCCUCUGAGGGGUAAGCUGCUGAAUGUGAGAGAAGCAAGUCACAAACAGAUAAUGGAAAAUCAAGAAAUCCAGAGCCUGAAACGGGCUCUUGGACUGCAGCAUGGGAAGCAGUAUGAAAGUGUUAAUGGUUUAAGAUAUGGGCAUCUCAUGAUAAUGACUGAUCAGGAUCAUGAUGGAUCCCAUAUCAAGGGUCUCCUGAUCAAUUUCAUCCAUUCAUUCUGGCCAUCCUUGCUGAAAAUCCCCUCGUUCAUGCUUGAGUUUAUCACACCGAUUGUAAAGGCAACUCACCGCAAUGGUAGGGUAUUGGCCUUUUACACCAUGCCUGAAUAUGAAGCAUGGAAGAAGAGCAUAGAAGGAAAUGCAAAUGGCUGGACCAUUAAGUAUUAUAAGGGGUUGGGUACGAGCACAUCAAAAGAAGGAAAGGAAUACUUCAGUGAUCUUGGGAAGCACCAGAAGGAUUUCUUGUGGGUGGAUGAGCAAGAUGGAGAUGCCAUUGAAUUGGCAUUCAGUAAGAAGAAGAUUGAGGCUAGAAAAAACUGGCUCCGCCAGUUUGAGCCAGGAACUUACCUUGAUCAAAGUGUGAAGCUCAUCAAGUACAGUGAUUUUGUUAACAAGGAGCUGGUAUUGUUCUCCAUGGCUGAUCUUCAAAGGUCAAUACCGUCCAUGGUUGAUGGCCUCAAGCCAGGCCAAAGGAAGAUCUUGUACUGCUCUUUCAAGAGACCACUAAUCAAAGAACUUAAGGUGGCUCAAUUCUCGGGCUAUGUUUCUGAGAAAUCUGCCUACCAUCACGGCGAGCAGAGUCUUGCCAGCACUAUAAUAGGAAUGGCCCAGGAUUUUGUGGGCAGUAACAAUAUUAACCUUUUGCAACCCAACGGACAGUUUGGCACCAGACAUCAAGGUGGCAAAGAUCAUGCAAGUGCAAGAUAUAUCUUCACUUGUUUGUCCCCAGUGACCCGGUUUCUGUUUCCAAAGGAUGAUGAUGCUCUUCUGAACUAUUUGUCUGAAGACGGGCAGAUCAUUGAGCCAACCUGGUACAUGCCCAUCAUACCUAUGGUUCUUGUAAAUGGAAGUGAGGGGAUUGGAACUGGCUGGAGUUCUUACAUUCCUAAUUAUAAUCCGAGAGACAUAGUUGCAAAUGUAAAACGGUUGUUAAAUGGCGAGGAAAUGCAGCCUAUGGACCCAUGGUAUAGAGGAUUUAAGGGCCGGAUUGAGAAAUCGGCAUCAAAGGUGGCUGGUGUCACCUACACCAUCACUGGUAUUGUGGAAGAAAUCGACAACAACACGCUCAGAAUCUUGGAACUGCCAAUACGUAGAUGGACACAAGAUUAUAAGGAAUUUCUUGAGUCAUUGAUGACUGGGAAUGAGAAAAGCAAGGAACCAUUUAUCCAGGAUUACAGAGAGCACAACGAUGACACAACAGUACAUUUUGAGGUUAUUUUGUCCGAGGAGAACAUGAACAUUGCCAGACAGGAAGGGCUGGAGAAGAAGUUCAAGCUUACUACAACCAUCAGUACCAGCAAUAUGCACCUUUUUGAUCCAAGUGGGGUUAUUAAAAAGUAUGAUACACCUGAGCAAAUUCUUGAGGAAUUUUUCAGUUUGAGGCUUGAAUUUUAUGAGAAAAGAAAGAAAAAAUUAUUGGACAGCCUUGAAUUCGAACUGAUGAAGUUAGAUAACAAAGUCAGGUUCAUCCUUGGUGUUAUUAGAAACGAGAUAAUUGUGAGCAAUAGGAAAAAAGCAGACUUGUUGAUUGAGCUCAGGGAAAAAGGAUUCACUCCUAUAAGGAAGGAAAACAAAGGAAUUGAGGCUGCAGUUGCUGGAGCUAUGGCUGAUUCAGAAGAAAAUGAAGAGUCUUCGGAAGAUAGUCCAGAGAUUGUUAGAGGAAGUGUGAGAGCAAGUGACUAUGACUACCUUCUAUCCAUGGCAAUUGGAACCCUCACUCUAGAGAAGGUUCAGGAGUUGAUUGCUAGUAAAAACAAACUGGAGGCUGAUGUUGAAGAUUUGAAAAGUGCCACUGUGAUGUCUUUGUGGUCGAAGGACCUUGAAGCUUUUGAAGGAAUGCUCGAUGAACAAGAUAAACUUGAUGCUGAAGCUGAGCAAGUGAAGAACGAGAUGAGAAAGAAGGGCUUGAAUAGCAAAGCUGCGGCAGCUUCCAAGAACGGGCCCAAACGACCAAGAAAGACCAACACUGCCAAACCUCCCCCUGUUGUUCCAGUGACUGCUCAGACUGAUGCUAACAACGCUACUGAAGCCAUCAAACCUAAGCCUAGAGGGGGUGCAAAGAAGGCUACUUCCAAGAAAACGGUUGAUAAUGGAAGCGAUGACGACGAUGAGAUACUCGCACUUCGAGACCGACUGCACGCACAAAGCCUCAGUUCAUCUGCUCAUGAAAAUGCUAUGGAUGUUGAGGAGGUGCUAGCAAAGAAGGAACCGAGCAAAAGAGCAGCUGCUGCAAAGGCAUUAUCGUCUAUCGCCAUCACUGACAUCUCGGACAAUGACGAUGAACCUCGAGAAGAUUACAUGUCAAAUUUCCCGGAGGAUGAUAAUGAAGACGGGGAUGAGGAAUUUGAGGUGGUGGAGAUCCCUAAAGGAAAGAAAACUGGAAGAAGAAAGGCAGACACCACCACCACCACAACGACAGAUAGAAAAAGAGGUGCAGCAACUAAAAACAACAAGCAGAAACAGCAAGUUUUGAGCCAAAAACUUAUCACCGAAGUGCUGAAGCCUGUGGAACAGCAAGCUAAUAGCUCACCGGAGAAGAAAGUGAGGAAGAUCAGGGCAUCCCCGUUCAACAAGAAGAGUGGUUCAGUGUUGGGGAAAUCCUCACUUGGCAGCAAUGAUGAUUCCAGCAGCUCAUUAGUAUCUAAUUCUAGUCCUUCAGAUGAACCAAUAAUGAUUGCUGCACGUCCAAGAAGAGGGAACAGGACUGUAAAGAAAGCCACAUAUGUGGAAAGUGAUUCAGAAAUGGAACAAGAGGAUGAUGAUGGCCCCAUCACUGAUGACUCAGACUUUGAGGAAGAUGAUUUUUAAACACUAUCUCUAGGUGUAGGACACAUGGGGCCUUUGAAGCUGACAAAGUCAUUGGCUUUUGAGAAGAGAUGGAGGCGGUGGACCAUUAAGUAACCAUCAUCAAAAAUUUAGGCUGUGGCUUGUUUCCUGCUGAGUCUUGCAGUGUUGCUGGGAUCAUGGCUUUGGGGAUUGCUGUCCGUGCCUCCAUUGAUCGUCAGAUGAACAUUCGUCGUAUUCUCCACUGCAACCCUGACACUUCUCUGAUCUUAUCAGUGGUCAGCAAUCCCGUUUCUUGGCGUGCUGCUCCUGCGAUCUUGGAUACUUCUCAUCUUCUCCAAGCUGCUGGUAAUCCCUCUUUGGUGGCCAUUCCUAGUCGUUGGAAUGGACCCGCUCUCGCUCUUGCUGGCGUCGGCUCCAUCAAUUGCAACCUCAAUCUCUUCCUGUCCGGCCGGGAUUUGCCCCAAUGGUUAAUGAAGUUAUUCUCUGAUUUUGGCUUUACAUUCUAGUUUUUGUUUUAGUUUUUGUAAUCUUUGUUCUUUUCUGGUUUGCUGCUCUAGCUUUCUUCUUCCUCCUUCUUUUGGUUGUUUUAAUCUCUUUGUAAACCUCUUUUGUUUCUAAUAAAAUUAGCUCUUUCUGAGCUCUUUCCCCAAAAAAAAUACAUUCUAAAAGAAAAGGCGGAUACUUUUUUCAGUAAACUUCAUUCAAUUGAUAAUCGCGUCGAUUUCUUUUUCUGGCAAAUAAAACACAUAAAAGAUUCAAACCAAAAUGAACAAACUAAGUAAAGUGAGAGCAAACAAGCAAUGUUUCGA